UACAGGUGGUUGGGUAGAGAAUACCAAGGCGCUUGAUAGAACUCGGGUGAAGGAACUAGGCAAAAUGGCACCGUAACUUCGGGAGAAGGUGCGCCGGUGAGGGUGAAGCAUUUACUGCGUAAGCCCACGCCGGUCGAAGAUACCAGGCCGCUGCGACUGUUUAUUAAAAACACAGCACUCUGCAAACACGAAAGUGGACGUAUAGGGUGUGACGCCUCCCCGGUGCCGGAAGGUUAAUUGAUGGGGUUAGCUAACGCGAAGCUCUUGAUCGAAGCCCCGGUAAACGGCGGCCGUAACUAUAACGGUCCUAAGGUAGCGAAAUUCCUUGUCGGGUAAGUUCCGACCUGCACGAAUGGCGUAACGAUGGCGGCGCUGUCUCCACCCGAGACUCAGUGAAAUUGAAAUCGCUGUGAAGAUGCAGUGUAUCCGCGGCUAGACGGAAAGACCCCGUGGACCUUUACUAUAGCUUUGCACUGGACUUUGAAUUUGCUUGUGUAGGAUAGGUGGGAGGCUUUGAAGCGUGGACGCCAGUCUGCGUGGAGCCAACCUUGAAAUACCACCCUGGCAACUUUGAGGUUCUAACUCAGGUCCGUUAUCCGGAUCGAGGACAGUGUAUGGUGGGUAGUUUGACUGGGGCGGUCUCCUCCUAAAGAGUAACGGAGGAGUACGAAGGUGCGCUCAGACCGGUCGGAAAUCGGUCGUAGAGUAUAAAGGCAAAAGCGCGCUUGACUGCGAGACAGACACGUCGAGCAGGUACGAAAGUAGGUCUUAGUGAUCCGGUGGUUCUGUAUGGAAGGGCCAUCGCUCAACGGAUAAAAGGUACUCCGGGGAUAACAGGCUGAUACCGCCCAAGAGUUCAUAUCGACGGCGGUGUUUGGCACCUCGAUGUCGGCUCAUCACAUCCUGGGGCUGAAGCCGGUCCCAAGGGUAUGGCUGUUCGCCAUUUAAAGUGGUACGCGAGCUGGGUUUAGAACGUCGUGAGACAGUUCGGUCCCUAUCUGCCGUGGACGUUUGAGAUUUGAGAGGGGCUGCUCCUAGUACGAGAGGACCGGAGUGGACGAACCUCUGGUGUUCCGGUUGUCACGCCAGUGGCAUUGCCGGGUAGCUAUGUUCGGAAUAGAUAACCGCUGAAAGCAUCUAAGCGGGAAACUAGCCUCAAGAUGAGAUCUCACUGGAACCUUGAGUUCCCUGAAGGGCCGUCGAAGACUACGACGUUGAUAGGUGGGGUGUGUAAGCGCUGUGAGGCGUUGAGCUAACCCAUACUAAUUGCCCGUGAGGCUUGACC
rnacentral:rRNA from 1 species